UGCAAGUCGAGCGGACUUAAAAAGCUUGCUUUUUAAGUUAGCGGCGGACGGGUGAGUAACACGUGGGCAACCUGCCUGUAAGACUGGGAUAACUUCGGGAAACCGGAGCUAAUACCGGAUAAUCCUUUCCUACUCAUGUAGGAAAGCUGAAAGACGGUUUACGCUGUCACUUACAGAUGGGCCCGCGGCGCAUUAGCUAGUUGGUGAGGUAACGGCUCACCAAGGCGACGAUGCGUAGCCGACCUGAGAGGGUGAUCGGCCACACUGGGACUGAGACACGGCCCAGACUCCUACGGGAGGCAGCAGUAGGGAAUCUUCCGCAAUGGACGAAAGUCUGACGGAGCAACGCCGCGUGAGUGAUGAAGGUUUUCGGAUCGUAAAACUCUGUUGUUAGGGAAGAACAAGUACGAGAGUAACUGCUCGUACCUUGACGGUACCUAACCAGAAAGCCACGGCUAACUACGUGCCAGCAGCCGCGGUAAUACGUAGGUGGCAAGCGUUGUCCGGAAUUAUUGGGCGUAAAGCGCGCGCAGGCGGUCCUUUAAGUCUGAUGUGAAAGCCCACGGCUCAACCGUGGAGGGUCAUUGGAAACUGGGGGACUUGAGUGCAGAAGAGAAGAGUGGAAUUCCACGUGUAGCGGUGAAAUGCGUAGAGAUGUGGAGGAACACCAGUGGCGAAGGCGACUCUUUGGUCUGUAACUGACGCUGAGGCGCGAAAGCGUGGGGAGCAA
rnacentral:rRNA from 1 species